AUCUAAAUACCAACAACUUGUUUGAAAUUUCACAAAAAAAGAAAACUCUUUGUAGGCCAAACCAAAUAAAGAUAUAUAUGACCCCUCUGUGUCAACUCUUCACUGCUGCACCAAAGGAAGAACCAGACAGUCCCCAGGAGCAAAUCGUCACUGUUCUAUGUAGGGGAACCUGAUAGCCUCUUCAAAGAAGGCUGCAGAGCAAACCACAAGACGUUAGACCCAACUACCCGGCUACUGACGCCAGCCUGUGACUGUUUUUGAAACAACACAGAGGAAGAAGACAAGAUCCUUACUUACACCUUUGUUCCUCAUCACCUCCCCAUGACUGUGAGCCUUCAUCUUAUAUAAGCCCCUGGACUCCUCAAGGGAGGAGGGGCCCAGCUCUGGAGGCACCAGCCCACUGCGUUCUCCCCUCCACUAGCUGAGGAUGAAAGCCACCUUUCUACUUCCUCCAAAUUCUGCCCCCGUAUUUUUUAUUUAACUUCGGUGGGCAGAGAAAGCCAAGAUUUUUGGCACUUCAAACCCUUCACACUGGCCAUCAAAAGCAAUAGCCAUUGUGGGCUUAUCAGAUUCUCCCCUUCUCUCCCAGCCUACUGUUUAGAGACUGCUGCUGCUGCGGCUGCUAAGUCGCUUCAGUCGUGUCCGACUGUGCAACUCCAUAGACGGCAGCCCAUCAGGCUCCCCCGUCCCUGGGAUUCUCAAGGCAAGAACACUGGAGUGGGUUGCCAUUUCCUUCUCCAAUGCAUGAAAGUGAAGUCACUCAGUCGUGUCCGACUCUUAGUGACUUCAUGGACUGUAGCCUACCGGGCUCCUCCGUCCAUAACAGACUGCUAGUGACUAUAUAACACCCAGCUAAAGACUAGCAGGGGAGUACUCUUUCUGCCCCCUUCUGAUGCCUAUGUCAGAAGCUUUCUCUAUCUCCUUUAUACUUUAAUAAAACUUUAUUACACAAAAGCUCUGAGCAAUCAAGCCUUGUCU
ensembl:lncRNA